AGAAGACUGAAUUGCUCUUAGGUCCAAAAGCUAGUGGGAGCCAAGAGUCAAACUCUAUGUGUCUGAUCUCAAAGCAUUCAUGCUUUUUACCAACAACUUGCCAAUUUAUUUAUGAGUUGAAAAAAAUUGAGGCCCAGAGAUGCACUGUGACUGCCUCAAAAUUCAUUGAGGGAUUGGCUAGAAUGGGGCUUGGAUCGUCCUAUCCUGCUCUGCCGGGUGGGCACCCCAUUGGUUCUGCUGGUUCUGCUUUGCCCCCGCCAUUCCCUCUGCCACCUCCCUUUAUCCCAUGACGCCCAGUUCAUUACUAAAGGUAUAGACACAAAAGAUGACAAAGAGAUAGUCUUGAAUCUCUGGCAAAAAAACAAAACAAAACAAAACAAAAAAACUAAGUCAAAUUGCAGACCUGGGAGUCGCUGAAUAAGGCUGGCCUAGGGAACCAGUUGUCCCUAUCUGUGACAGAACCAAGCACAACAGUCUUGCUGUUCAGAGCCCAGAUUCCAGGUCCUUUGAGAUGUAAAUGAACAUCACUGGAAUUUCCUAUCUCAAAUAGUGAGGAAGUCCAAUCUGUCCCCAAGACAGGGACUUUCAAAGUCUCAGUCACUUCCAGCUCUGAUGUUCCCCUCUCCUCUGUCUGUUUGUUUGUCUUUCUUCUCCACUCAGUGCCAGCCCAGGCAGGCGAACAUGCAGAAUGCAGUUCAUUUUACUACAGGUUUAAGGGGCGUGGGGGUUGUGUUUCCACAAUGCAGAAAUGUGACCAACAUAUAGUCCUGUUUUCACAAGUUCUGAGCACCUGUCCACCAGUCACCCCCCUCAAGUUCUUUCCUUUUACCAAUCACCCCACAUGUCAAGACACUAUUCACGUUUCAGCUCGUUCAUUUUCUGAGGCCCCUCAGCUGCAAAUAUCCAAUCCCCAUCACUUCUUAUCAAAUGAAUGAGCAGAUAGGUACUAACUUCCUACUUUGUGGUGUGAUGUCAAAUCAAAGGUUCAGACCUCCGGAUGCAGAAUUACAGCUGGGGCAAGUGUGCAGAAAAAGAAGACCACGGAGCAGUAAGGCAGGCGGCUGGCUGCAGGAUGUGGCUGUGGCUUGCAGGACUGUGGGGCAGCUCACCAACAUCCACUUCUUCCAGAGAAGACUGCAUCUCCCAGAUAGCCUUGUGAGAGGGCCGGACAUUGACUAGCCAUGGCCAGAGGACGGUGAGAAGAAGUGGUGCGGGUCCCUUCCUGGUGGAAACAGACACUGUGAGAGGUGCUUUGCCAACCCUGUAACCAGAGGACCAGGGUGCCCUCGGGAACCAAGCAACAUGCCUUGUCCUGUGCAGAGGACCUAGAACAGCUUCACAGAGGAAGUGAUGUUUGAGCCAAGCCUUGCCCACACCGACUCCAUUCAGACCAAAUCAGCGGUAUCUGGAAGGUCCCAGAAUGUCCACUCUAGGACCUGAAUGGUGGAUUGAAGGCUACCAGGAAAGGUGGGAUGGAAGGGCACAGAAGGGAUCGUGUUCCAGGCAGAGCGACCAGCAUGUGCAAAGGCCUUUGGAAGGAGAUAGCAAGGCCCAAGCAGUGCUGACUCUGACUGGCAGGAGAAGAGCUUUCCAGGCUCCUGUGGAGGACACCACAAAUGCUGAAUGGUUCGGACACUCUGGGCUCCUCCAGGCUAUUACAGCUUUCGAGAGUGUCCUUGUUUUUGAUGACCCUGACUGUUUGGAGGAGUACUAAACAGCUGUUUUUAGG